AUGCACCACCACGCCUGGCUAGUUUUUGUAUUUUUUGUAGAGACGGAGUUUUGCCAUGUUGGUCAGACGGGUCUGGAACUCCUGGACUCAAGCGAUCCACCCACCUCAGCCUCCCAAAGUGCUGGGAUUCAGCAGCCCAGGGAACAGGCCCAGGGGAUGAGCUGCUGCAGUGGGGUCUGUGAGCUGGCCAUGAUACCUCCCAUGCCACUGUACUUCUUACAGCAUGGUGCCAAUACUCGUCCCUUUGAGAAGUGGGGUCUUUGUUCCCUUCCCUUGAGUUUUGGCAGGCCUAUGACUAUGUCAGAGGUAAAGUUAUGUGACUUCCGAGACUGGAUCAUGAACGGCAACACCGCUUCUGCCCAGUUCCUUAGAAUGAAGGAAGGCUGGCACCAUGGUGUGAGGAAGCCCAAGCUACACAGAGGCUGCAUGUGGAUGCUCCAGCCAACUGCCCCAGCCAAGGCUCAACCGCCAGACAUGGGCAUGAAGACAUCUUCAGAGCAACUCUGGCCCCAGCCACCGUGAUGGCAGGAGAGGCUCCCAGGGAGAACCAGUCAACCCCCAGGACUGUGGGACGUAGUAACAAAAUCUUGUUGGGGGCGAUGUGUUACCUGAAGAACAAUGAACAAAAAAUGCUGGUGUGUCACUGGUGCCUCCAGUGUUCCUACCUCACUGUUCUGAGACCUCACUUUUCAUAUCUUCCCCCUCAGAGUAUGCACCCCUGCUUCUGUGCGUUUCCCAGUCCCUGCCUUCCUCUGGUGCUCUCUGGAAGCUUCUCCUGGUGGCAGCGGGUAUUCUGCUCUCUCCUCUAGCAUCUGCUGAGACUCCUUCUCCUGGGAGUGGACCACUGCAGAUGUUCCCAGGCUUUGGGGCGCAUGGGGACACCUCUCUUCUUAGGCUGCUUCCCUCCUUAGGGUGGCCAGAGCAGCUUCCCCCUGCACGGAGGCGAAGGCCCCCUCAGUCAUGAUCCUGAUGAAGAUUCCUUGCUUGGCAAAACUUUAGGCAGUCUUCUGAAUCUUCUGCUACACCCGUCUGUGCACUUCCUUGUAAAACCCAGUUUUAGCAAAAGAACCUGCGAAGUCAGUUUAGGCAGAACCCCCAUCCUAGAUCGCUGAUCACCGUUGAUACCUGAACGGGUUCCUCGUCCUCCACCAUCCCCCGGGCACUGUCCAAUCACCCUGCCUGCAGCAAGAAUCCUGUUGGGGCGGUUUUGCCAGACGUUUCCUCUAGGUAAUUUUCCAUCCACUGACAACUGCUCUGCCUCCCCUGCUAUAAAUCCCCACCUGUCCGGCUGGUCUUUGAAGUUGAGCCAAUUCUUCUCUCCCUCAGCAAGACCCUGGUGCAGUGGCCCCUGUACCUAUCACGAUGGUCCUGAGCGAAGUCCUCCUUACCCUGCCUUAACCAGUGUCACUGAAUACACCCGUCCUCAACACUGGUUGUCCUAGAAACUGUUGCCCACUCUGGGCUCCUGCUGCCACCUCCACCGCCAAGAGGGGGAAACUGAGGCACAGUUUUGUCUUUAACUCCCAGCUACCACCAUGCGACCUGGGAAAACUCACCCACCACCAGGACCACUUCAGGCCUCUGAAGGGACACACGAGCCCAGAGAGAGCAGAAAGUCCUUUCUCCCUCCUAGAUCCCAGACACUCCUCUUUC
ensembl:lncRNA